GAGAAUGCUGCAAGAACUGCUAAUUCAUGCCUCCAUGACUAAUCGCAUGGCUUUCUCA
rnacentral:tRNA from 1 species